AGCAGUAGCGCGGUAAUACAGAGGGUGCGAGCGUUAAUCGGAUUUACUGGGCGUAAAGCGUGCGUAGGCGGCUUCUUAAGUCGGAUGUGAAAUCCCUGAGCUUAACUUAGGAAUUGCAUUCGAUACUGGGAAGCUAGAGUAUGGGAGAGGAUGGUAGAAUUCCAGGUGUAGCGGUGAAAUGCGUAGAGAUCUGGAGGAAUACCGAUGGCGAAGGCAGCCAUCUGGCCUAAUACUGACGCUGAGGUACGAAAGCAUGGGGAGCAAACAGGAUUAGAUACCCCAGUAGUCCCUGUCUCUUAUACA
rnacentral:rRNA from 1 species